CUAAAGGACCCUGGAAGAGGGAGUGGUUCAUCCUAGCUGCAAACAAGGGCGCUAAUGCUUUUUUUUUUCUUUAAGAAUUACGUUUUAUAGGUAUGUCUGGGCGAUGCAAGGGAAUGUUAACGACUUUCAGAAAGAAUGUUUGUGAAUACAUUUGGUGUGUACUAAAAAGCUGGAGACCCCUAAAUAAAUGCAGUAUCGAUAGAAAGCGAGUUUCUUGAAGAGUCACCUGCUAAACUCCACUAGCAUCAUCUCUACAGCAUAUUGACAUAGGCAUCGAAAAAACCACAAACUAAUUCUUUUCCAGUGUCCUCAACUACCUCCAUCUUUACUUCAUGAAAUGAUUAAAUAUUGAAUUCUGUACACCAGUUUUGGAAAUCAGAGGAAUAUUUCCAUUCAGGAUCAGAACAGCUAUUUUAAUUUCAUGUUCACAAGUUUGUUAAGUGUAUCCAUUCUUGAUUAGACCAUUUUCUCAAGUCAACAUUCAGAUACAAAGGAGAGAAGUAACACCACGGACUACAUGUUAAUUACUCCAACAAACUCAUUAUAUCCAGUGCUUGCACACAAGCAAAAAUUAUCUGCCAUCCUCUCUCCUUGCAUUCAUCUGUCUUUCCUUAUCUGUGUUCUUUUUUUUUUGUCCUCUUGCCAUUUGGUGGCAUAUUCAUUUUUCAAUCACUUUACCUUGGCAUCACUGACAAACCUUACUCUUUUUAUUUUCUCCCACAUCCAGGCUGUUCAUCCAACACAUUUCAAAAUUUUGUUAUUUCUUCCUGUUCCUGUCUUUAAAAGCUGUCACUUCCUUUCUGUUCCUGAAGACAAAAAUCCCCAUCCUAGCAUUUUUAUGUACAACAGCGUGUCCUCUUCUCAAAAUUUAUUCCGUGGUUAAACCACAUAAAUUGGCAAAUAAUGUUCCUAUUUUCCAUUCAAGCUAGAUGAUGGUAUCAACCAACCAUAAGGUCUCCAUGCUAUGGAUGAUCUUAGAAAUAAUAAAAUCCAGGUUCACAACUAAUGUGGAAAUUGUCUUCGCUGUGAACUAGUAGCUACUCUUUCUCUUUAAUGCUAUAUGGGCCUGUCUUGCAAUUGAUCCUGGAUUUGAAACUGACAGCUGUGAACUAGCAGGAAAAUGAUGUGGCAAGAGUUGCCAUUCCUGAAGAGAAUUCAAAGAAGUUCUAUUUGGGCAGACUGUGCUCACUCAUAGAACACAAAUUUUUGUCUUCCGAGUCCCUUUGGGCCAUAUGGACUUCAAAGUGCAAUAUAUAUACACACA